AACGCACAUUGCGCCCUCUGGUACUCCGGGGGGCACACCUGUUCGAGCGCCGUGUUACUACUAAGGCUCUGCCUUGCGCUGUCUGCGGCCGUUCUGUGGAGCGGCCCGGGCGAAACACGUCGGCGUCGCGACCUCGGGUUAGCCAGCGUAGCAAGCAAACGUCUCGCGGGCAUACAGCUCAGAAGGAUCGGGCGCCAGUUCUAAAUCGAACGUUUGGCCUCGAAUCAGGUGGGGAUACCCGCUGAACUUAA
rnacentral:misc_RNA from 1 species